rnacentral:siRNA from 1 species
UUCGAAACCUUUGUGAUUGUGG